UUGCAGGAUCCACCCAGCGGGGAAGCCGGGCUGUCAGGCUGCUGUAUUUACUGAGAAAGUUCAGCGAGGGUUGAGGCGAUGCACAGUACGAGCUGCUUCUAGGAAGCGUUUUAAUCCACGUGCCGUGCGCUGAUUCCUCAAUUGCUUCGUGGUUUCACGUUGUAAAGCGUCAGGAGAAGGGUCUGAAUUCUUCCUGCCCCUCCCUUCCGAAAAGUCAUUUCAGGUUUUGUUCCCAGCUCAGCGUUAGAGGAGGAUUAACCCUUGAAUUAACAGCAUCAAAAGAAGGUGUGCAAUCCCAGGAGGAGCUGUGUGGCCUUCAGUGAAAGUUAAUGAUGCCUGCAUCUUCAUUAGUCCUGUAACCUGUGAUGAGUGUAUUGUAUAGGUGGGAAUUCAUGCCUGCUCCAGCCUCUGUUAGAAGCUGGUAACUGGCUCUGGCUUCAGCGCAAUAGAAAGAGAAAAAUGCUUGUCAUUGCAGUGGUGCAGAUGCUGCAGCCUCUUAACUCCUGAUGAACCCACAAAAAUUCUGUGGACACAUUAAGCAACAGUUCUGACAAGACACGACAAGAACAUGGAAAAAUAGAUCCAACAGGUGAGUAAUCGCCCAAUAGUAUCUUCUUAGAUCUCUCCAAGAAAGGAGCAGAACCACUCGGAUGACCCCACUGACCCUAGGGAGGAUAUGUUAACUGAUAGCAAAAGAAUGCUGCCAGAUCCUGU